AAACAUGCACGAAUGUCUUAACACAUGGACACGUGUAGGACGUAAUUAUCUUAUCUUUUGAAGGGACGUAUGUAAUUUAUAAGAUAAGAUAAGAUUCAACAAAGAAUGACAGCCAAAUGUUGGACCCACCUGCCAAUCUAAUUGAACUCUCGCACACUGUGUGUUCGCGUGAGACGAGUGUCGCCAGUAGUCAGCUCGAGGCGCAAUCAGGUGAUAUAACUCUUUGUGUGUGUCGUCUGCUACAGUGCAGCGAAGUGAGGCCGUGGGAUAACUUAGUGCUGUAUUCACUGGAAGACUCCUUGCAACUUGAGGACUAGCUACGAACUUCAGUUUUGUUUUUACAUUUUAUCAAUUGGAACAGAUCUAGACGUCUAGGGUCCACAAUGAACUCUAUUUUUAACUGGACCAUCGCUGGAUGAAGCAUUUUUUGAAGGCAUUUUAUUGGUGUUCUAUCUGACUUAAUUUGUUUCUCGUGAUCUGAUUUGUUCUUGGCGCCAUGUCUUCUUUCUUUAAGUUUUUUGGAAAGAAAACCAAGAAAGACGAUGCCGACAUCAAGAUUGACCCAAACGUUGACCCUGAACUUGAAAAACGACGCCUGAGGCACUCAUUGUCCAUCUCCCGCUCCGGGAGGUUCAAGCAGAAGAAGCGAGAGAGGAGCCAGAUCUCUGACAAGCCUGAGAUAUUCUUCGAUCUAGACGACGCCCCGAGCUCAGAGGCGCAGAACGAGAACAAGCCCGCUGCUGCCGGCGGCCACUCCACCUCCCAGCCCGGCAGGGGCAACCAUUCCGGGGCUCCGACCAGGUCCCCGAAAGCCUGUCGCGACGUUAACCCGCCGCUGACCUCGAAGGGUGGACUCAGGGUGGGUCAGUCUGUCGCCACGUGACCAGAGUCAUAGGCAGACAUGACCCACCGAACGCUGUCUCAUACGAACAUGUAAAAAGCAUAAUGCGAUUCCUGAAGGUUUUUCCUCCAGUUCUCCUCUGUAUUCCUAAAAUACUACAUUGGAUCUAAGUUUGUUAACCAGCUUGUAUGGACAGUAAACACGCUAUGGAAUCGUUGUACUAUGCUGUUUAUUUUUAUGUAUACUUGUAUUCCAUAGGUCAUGAAAACAAAAAAUGUUGCUCUUUUAGUGCUUUCACGUGUUAAUCUUAUUCCAGACUGUUAAUGUAAUGUGAUUGAUUAACAUUCUUUGAUUUUCACACCCAUUGCCAAUUUCUGCUAGGACCGUGAACAUGUAUAAACAACUGUUCUGCUUGUAGACAUGUGAACAUGUAUAAAUAUAUUCUUUCUGGGACCGUGAACAUGUAUAAAUAUAUGUUUGAUGGAACCGUGAACAUAUGUAUAAACUAUUCUAUGCUGAGACCGUGAACAUGUAUAAAUAGCUAUUUGCUGGGACCACGAACAUGUGUAAACUACAUUUCAAGAAUGCAGAUCUAGACUAACAGUGGUGACAUCGUAAUGCAGGAGCCGGUCCUUUAAGCAACAAACGUUUUCCAAGAUUUGCUGUUGUGCGGAUGUUUUUUUAUAACCUGAGUGACACAAGACAAGUGGAUUUAAACAUCUAGAUCUAAUAAAAACAUGAACAAACAUAUGGCUUUAUAUUCUUUUCUUAAAAGGCUAUUAUACAGAGAAAGAACAUGUGGAUUUUAAAUGUCAUAAAGUUACUGUUUUUAGCUACUGUUUGUUUAUUUUUUUAUAAGAUUGGAGGGUCAUGUUAUCUAUUUUCAUUAUGCAUGUGCUAACUUUGAUUUAUUCUUUGAGAAAUGGGCAGGAAGGGAGGAGUUUAGUAUUGUUGUUUUUUUUAAUUCAGAUGUUGUUGCACUAGGGUCUAACAGUUAAACAUUGUUAAUUUUGAUGUAGGCAUGAUUUGACACGUUCGUUUAUCCAAACAUUGACACAUUAAAUGAGCUACUUUUCUUGAAGAAUUAACUUCCAAUCAUUUCACCCAACUCAUCAACGACUGAUCUUAAUUGUGUACCAAGUAUUCUAAGUCAACCUGGAACUGUGACCAGAAUGUUUUCCAUUUUAUUACCACACAUACAGACCACUUGGUUUAUUUGAAGAGAUUUUUGUAGUGGUGGAAAACUUUAUUAGUAAUCGAACAAGAAUUUAUACGUUUUAAGAAUUGGAAAAAAAAAGAUAUUAAGUUCCCAAAACUUCAUUUUUAAAUAAUUUUAUUGACCACGAUUUGAAUGUAUCGUUUGCAGUGCUCUUACGACGCAACGGAGAUGACUGUCAAUCAAAGAUCAGUUCAGCAAAGUUAGACCUUAGUUUUUAACAAAUGUGCACAUGAAAAGUGUUUAGAAUCCGACCAAUUACAUUGUUUCUUUUAUAAAUGCCCUCCCCUCUUUACACCAAAGAAUGUAUUGGAGUUCGAGAUACAAUUGUAUCUAUUCAUCCCCCCCCCCUUUUUUUUUUGGCUAAUCUCCACCCUCGCCCCACCUCCAUAUCCUAAGUUCGCGUUUUCUAUUUUAGUUUACUUAGCAAUUAUUUAGACAAAAUUUACACACCGUCACAAUUUCUUUUUCAAAAGAUUUCUUUCAAACAGGAAAAAAGAAAAAUAAGGAGGGGGGGGGGGGGGGGGGCUACAGUCUAUUCACGUGUCAUAACGUGCGGUAAUAGCAGACGACUUAGAAGAUUCCGAAACUUUGAACGCACUUCACAUUGUACUACCAUAGCUUACGAUUUCAUGUUCUUUAUAAAAUGUAUUGAAACUAGAAUCUAGUUGCUUGAAAGCCUAAUCUGCAAAGGGGAGGGGAGUCUGUGUCUUCUAAACAGGAAGUGAAGUACUGUUUAAAAUAAAAACACCAUCUGCUGCUUUUCAUUUUGCCAAAUAAAUAAGCAAUACACUUAGUAACUAAUUGGCACAGUGCAAAGGAUGCUGUCCGCUUCUUAUAUUAUAUUUUGGUAGAAUUUUUAAGAUCAGUGAUGCCUAGACUGCAGCCCACGAAUCCCUAUAUGGCCCUUCAAAACUCCUGCUCAUAUUGUAUAAUGAAACCUCACAGACUUUUUUCAAUUUGAUUCAACAUUUUUUUUUUCGCUGAUGUGGCCAGUGACAGUGUUAAAAAUGUUGCCCCAUAGCCGCAAAAAAAAAAACACUACUGACAUGUGAAUUGCGUUUGUAGUGAUUGAUUUGACAUACGUUUCAUCUUUAUUUAGGUAUGGGUGAUGAUUCCGGACAUCCUGCCUAAAACAUGUUUUAAUAUAACUCCACUUUUUUAAUUUUCCUGUAAAACACACAGUACUUUGUGAUGUGUUUGUGAACACAGAAAUCAUUUCUUCCUAGAUAGUUAAUUUCAUUUGAAAUAAUACACUUUAAACAAUAAGAUGUAGUUGUGAUUUUAAACAUAUUUUACACUAUUUUUUUUUAUUCAGGAGCAUUGUUUAAAGUUAAGUUGCUUCCCUUUAAUGUAUGCUAGGAGUUAUUGUUCUUGUUCAGUUGCUGGAUACAUAGCCUACUACAUAGGUUAAAGCUAGAUCCCCUUCCAAAUCAAACAUAACUUAAUGGAUGCCCCCCCCCCCCCCCCGAACGUGCAAUGAUUUCUGAAACCCUCGGUGCUGCUUUGGUUUCUUUCCGAACUGUAGCAGUAAUUAGAUCUACUUAAAUUCACAUGUAGCACUGAUAUUUUUGUCCCGUCUCUGACUGGAGCCCGUGUCCCCAACUAAAGUCAUUGUCUUUGAGGUAAAGGGGGAAAAAAAAGGGAAUUUUGGAUGAACUUUGGACUAGAGACAAAAUGUAGUUUCUCUGUUUGUUGACAUUCACUUGACAAAAAAGGACGAACACAUUCAGUGCUGGGGGGGGGGGAGGGGAGUGAAUAGAAAGGUGGUGCUGCGGGAGAGGAGAGGGGAGUUGAUAAAGGGUUCAAAAGGAAAAAAAAUGUUUUAGUGGCUUUGAUUAAACCCCGCCAUUCAAAGGUGACACACUUCCUGAUUCUAGAGCCAACAGGUGUAGUCUGACUCUGACCUGAAUCUUCAGUUUGUUCUUGCCAGCAACUUUCGAAAGAAAAGAAAUCAUUUGUUUACCUCCUUCUGUUUUUAAAAUAUCCCUUUUUUUUUUGGAUGUUAGAUGGAAUGCUAUUGGUCUACGGGGGGGGGGGGGGAAGUCUUUAACAUUCCUUUUUUCCCCACAUUGUCGUAUUUAAGAAAUGAUUUUAAAAAAUGAAAUAUUCCGCACACAAAGCAUCCAUACCUUGCAGGAAUCUUUCGAAUUACAAGACUUUCAAAAAGCGAUCAGACAGACGAUUACGACUCUCUCCCUUCCGGUUUAACGUUGUUUGUUUUUUUCUUGGGAGGGCCUGUAGUUUCAGUAGUCAGCAAAGUUUGAAAUGUAAAAAAAAAAAAAAAAAAAGGUUUUACCAUGUUCAAGAUGCCUCCCCCUCCCCCAAGUAGUAGAUAUAAAUAUAAAUUGUUUCAAUUUUAUUUGCUCCCGGUGAAUCUUGAUUUUCUAGCCUAGUGAUUAUGUUUUUUUUUUAUUUUUUAAAUUAGUUCUUUGCGUGAUCCGUUUUCAGAACUAGACAGUAGAUGUUGUCGGUCUGUGAUCAAAGUUACUUCACCGACCUGGAGAAUGUUGAAAACAAAUGGGGAUCUUUAAAACAUAAAUGUUUGUUUUGUAUGCAAGUGUGCUUCAUUAUUUUUAGAGUCACAAUGGCGGAUGCGUUAUUAAAACAUAGAUGUAUUUUUUAAAAGGUCGUUAAUCAUAAUCAUAUGAUAUGACUGUAUGAUCCCGUAUAAAUGAUCUACAUAGAAUUUAUAGACUAGAUCUAGAUUCUAAAAAUAAUCUAAAUCUAGAAUAUAUAGAUCUAGAUUAUUCUAGAUCUUUUAUUUUUUUAAUUAGUGUGAAAUAUAAGCAAUGCAAAUGUUAGACUACAUUCAAUAUCCACGUUGACAAAUCAUACGCUGUAUUAUUUGAUUUAGAAUCUAAAUAGUUUUCUUUUCACUGGCCAAUAAGGUUUGUAGAUCUAUGACGUCUAUGUAUUCUACUAUUCUAUUGUAUAUUUUUUUGUGUGUGUGUUUAUCUAUAUUGUCAUGGUUACUCUUUUGGUAUCCCAAUGUGGCCAGGUUUUUUUUAUCAACUUCGUGCCAGCUAAAAUAUGGUUGAUGUUAUUUAAUGUUAUCAGAUCUCUAACAUUCCAAUAAGACAGAACAAGGUCUAGACUUAGACGCUGUCUUUUGUUGUGUGAAAAUAAUAAGAUGUCACUGACCAAACGCAACUUUCAAUCAAAUAGACAAUUCUCUGGAUACAAAAAAAUGCAUGCACGAAAUCAAGAAUCUAUUAACAACCCCUUUAAAAAAACAUGUUGAUAUACUUCUGGCCUCUUCCUUGUGUGUCCUCUCUCUGCUUUGUAGGCCUAUAGUUAAGUAGCGUCUAGGAUCCAUUCUGACCACUGCCAAAUACACACAGAACAACACAACAGAUCUAUAUCUAUAAGAAACAAUACAAAACUUCCCCCUACAUCUAAAAACUUCAUGGGAUUGUCUUGACUUCUUAACAGAACACGUUUAAUUUGUAUUGCUGCCAAUGUCAAUAUCAACAUUUAGUAUAUAAAGAUGUAUAUAUAUUUUUUUCAUUUACUUUAAUUAGUCCACAUGUAAUCAGUGCUAAAUAUACAGAUCCAUGUCACGCUGUAUAUAACACUACUAGUAGAAUACUUCCUGUUUAGUGUGUGUGUGAUUUUGGGGUGGCUAACAAGGGAAACAAUGCUAGACAUUGUAGGCCUAUGUGUUUGUGUGUAUGUGGAGUGCCUGAGGAUAAGUUUUUGGAAGGGGGAGGGGGAAUCGUUCAAAGAAAUUAAAUUUGCUUGUACAUAUUUGUUUUAGUGACGUGACAACAGAGCAGAAGAAUGGUUGGUUGAUCAUGCUAAUCAAUUUUGGUCUUUUAACAAGAUUUAUUGUGUAAAUAGAUCUUUAUAUCAGACAAUAAAAAAUGUAAAUUUCAAA